rnacentral:rRNA from 1 species
GAUGAACGCUGGCGGCGUGCCUAAUACAUGCAAGUCGAGCGAAUGGAUUAAGAGCUUGCUCUUAUGAAGUUAGCGGCGGACGGGUGAGUAACACGUGGGUAACCUGCCCAUAAGACUGGGAUAACUCCGGGAAACCGGGGCUAAUACCGGAUAACAUUUUGAACCGCAUGGUUCGAAAUUGAAAGGCGGCUUCGGCUGUCACUUAUGGAUGGACCCGCGUCGCAUUAGCUAGUUGGUGAGGUAACGGCUCACCAAGGCAAGGAUGCGUAGCCGACCUGGAAGGGUGAUCGGCCACACGGGGACUGAGACACGGCCCAGACUCCUACGGGAGGCAGCAGUAGGGAAUCUUCCGCAAUGGACGAAAGUCUGACGGAGCAACGCCGCGUGAGUGAUGAAGGCUUUCGGGUCGUAAAACUCUGUUGUUAGGGAAGAACAAGUGCUAGUUGAAUAAGCUGGCACCUUGACGGUACCUAACCAGAAAGCCACGGCUAACUACGUGCCAGCCGCCGCCGUAA